rnacentral:rRNA from 1 species
UACGUAGGUGGCAAGCGUUGUCCGGAAUUACUGGGCGUAAAGAGCUCGUAGGUGGUUUGUCGCGUUGUUCGUGAAAACUCACAGCUUAACUGUGGGCGUGCGGGCGAUACGGGCAGACUUGAGUACUGCAGGGGAGACUGGAAUUCCUGGUGUAGCGGUGGAAUGCGCAGAUAUCAGGAGGAACACCGGUGGCGAAGGCGGGUCUCUGGGCAGUAACUGACGCUGAGGAGCGAAAGCGUGGGGAGCGAACAGG